rfam:Cylindrobasidium torrendii FP15055 ss-10 unplaced genomic scaffold CYLTOscaffold_37, whole genome shotgun sequence.
UCGGAUAUGGUGUAGUGGCUAACAUUAUCGCCUCUCACGCGAUAGCCCGGGGUUCAAUUCCCCGUAUCCGAA